rnacentral:rRNA from 1 species
AGUGAACGCUGGCGGUAGGCCUAACACAUGCAAGUCGAACGGCAGCACAGUAAGAGCUUGCUCUUACGGGUGGCGAGUGGCGGACGGGUGAGGAAUACAUCGGAAUCUACUUUUUCGUGGGGAUAACCGAGGGAAACUUACUCUUAUACCCCAAAAGACCUACGGGUGAAAGCAAGGGAUCUUCGGAGCUUUUGCUGUUGAAUGAGGCGAUGUCGGAUUAGCCAGUUGGCGGGGUAAAGGCCCACCAAGGCCACGAUCCGUAGCUGGUCUGAGAGGGUGAUCAGCCACACUGGAACUGAGACACGGUCCAGACUCCUACGGGAGGCAGCAGUGGGGAAUAUUGGACAAUGGGCGCAAGCCUGAUCCAGCAAUGCCGCGUGGGUGAAGAAGGCCUUCGGGUUGUAAAGCCCUUUUGUUGGGAAAGAACAGCAGCAGGUUAAUACCCGGCUGUUCUGACGGUACCCAAAGAAUAAGCACCGGCUAACUUCGUG